CAAAUUUUGAGUCUACAAGCUCAGCUAAGGGGAAAAGAACAAAUUGGAACGGAACAGUUUCCAAACAGUGAAGGAGGUUUUUCCAAACUCAUCCCUAACUGAACAUGAGGAUGAAUUGGCAUUAGGCGAACACAGUCAGUUAUUCAGUCUACCACCUGACAGUGUGUUAAAGUUAAAUUCUGUUAAUGCUGCACUAAAAGAAUUGUUAGUAAUAAGUCUAUGGAGCGAAGGAAGUGAACAAUUGUGGGACCGUAUUUGGGCUGAAAAUGGGUGUGGUACGGAAACCCAGAAAUAGCACGAGUUCAACAUAAAACAUGAAUUAGAAUUUUAGUGGGGGAUCAAGUCAAGUCUAGAAGUGUUACAGGAUGGAAGAGUGAGCCUACAGUUGAAAAACACUGAAAGUGCGUUACCAGGUAAAGUAAUAGAGUAU